rnacentral:rRNA from 1 species
ACGAACGCUGGCGGCGUGCCUAAUACAUGCCAGUUGCGCGCUGAAGGUUGGUACUUGUACCAACGGGAUGAGCAGCGAACGGGUGAGUAACGCGUGGGGAACCUGCCUUUGAUUGGGGGACAACAUUUGGAAACGAAUGCUAAUACCGCAUAAAAACUUUAAACACAAGUUGUAAGUUUGAAAGAUGCACUUGCAGCACUCAAAGAUGAUCCCGCGUUGUAUUGGCUAGUUGGUGAGGUAUAGGCUCACUAAGGCGAUGAUACAUAGCCGACCGGAGAGGGUGGGCGGCCGGAUUGAGACUGUGACAGGGCCCAAUGUGCUGCGGGAGCCAGCAGUAGUGCAUCUGCGGCCAUAGGCGGGAGUCUGUGCGAGCAACGCCGCGUGCGUAUAGAAGAUCUCCGGAUCGUGAAACUCUGUUGGUAGGGAGGAACGUUGGUGCGCGUGGAACGCUCCUUGAGUGACGGUAACGGCUAAGGAAGGGACGGCUAACUACGUG